rnacentral:rRNA from 1 species
UACGAAGGGGGCUAGCGUUGCUCGGAAUCACUGGGCGUAAAGCGCACGUAGGCGGAUUGUUAAGUCAGGGGUGAAAUCCUGGAGCUCAACUCCAGAACUGCCUUUGAUACUGGGGAUCUCGAGUCCGGGAGAGGUGAGUGGAACUCCGAGUGUAGAGGUGAAAUUCGUAGAUAUUCGGAAGAACACCAGUGGCGAAGGCGGCUCACUGGCCCGGUACUGACGCUGAGGUGCGAAAGCGUGGGGAGCGAACAGG